rnacentral:rRNA from 1 species
UGGGGAAUAUUGGACAAUGGGCGAAAGCCUGAUCCAGCCAUGCCGCGUGUGUGAAGAAGGUCUUCGGAUUGUAAAGCACUUUAAGUUGGGAGGAAGGGCAGUAAGCGAAUACCUUGCUGUUUUGACGUUACCGACAGAAGAAGCACCGGCUAACUCUGUGCCAGCAGCCGCGGUAAUACAGAGGGUGCAAGCGUUAAUCGGAAUUACUGGGCGUAAAGCGCGCGUAGGUGGUUCGUUAAGUUGAAUGUGAAAGCCCCGGGCUCAACCUGGGAACGGCAUCCAAAACUGGCGAGCUAGAGUAGGGCAGAGGGUGGUGGAAUUUCCUGUGUAGCGGUGAAAUGCGUAGAUAUAGGAAGGAACACCAGGGGCGAAGGCGACCACCUGGGCUCAUACUGACACUGAGGUGCGAAAGCGUGGGGAGCAAACAGG